UACGUAGGGCGCAAGCGUUGUCCGGAAUUAUUGGGCGUAAAGAGCUCGUAGGCGGUUUGUCGCGUCUGUCGUGAAAGCUUGGGGCUUAACCCCAAGUCUGCGGUGGAUACGGGCAGACUAGAGGCAGGUAGGGGAGAACGGAAUUCCCGGUGUAGCGGUGAAAUGCGCAGAUAUCGGGGGAACACCGGUGGCGAAGGCGGUUCUCUGGGCCUGUACUGACACUGAGGAGCGAAAGCGUGGGUAGCAAACAGG
rnacentral:rRNA from 1 species